UACUCCAAACCCAUUGUGACCUUACCUAUGUUCUGUUGCCUCGGCGGCGUGGUCAGCGCCCCCUCUGAAAAGAGGACGAUGCCCUCCCGCCGGCAGCACCAAACUCUUGAAUUUUACAGCGGAUUACAGUUCUGAUUUGAAAAGAAAAAACAAGUUAAAACUUUCAACAACGGAUCUCUUGGUUCUGGCAUCGAUGAAGAACGCAGCGAAAUGCGAUAAGUAAUGUGAAUUGCAGAAUUCAGUGAAUCAUCGAAUCUUUGAACGCACAUUGCGCCCGGCAGUAAUCUGCCGGGCAUGCCUGUCCGAGCGUCAUUUCAACCCUCGAACCUCCGUUUCCUCAGGGAAGCUCAGGGUCGGUGUUGGGGCGCUACGGCGAGUCUUCGCGACCCUCCGUAGGCCCUGAAAUACAGUGGCGGUCCCGCCGCGGUUGCCUUCUGCGUAGUAAGUCUCUUUUGCAAGCUCGCAUUGGGUCCCGGCGGAGGCCUGCCGUCAAACCACCUAUAACUCCAGAUGGUUUGACCUCGGAUCAGGUAGGGUUACCCGCUGAACUUAAGCAUAUCAAUAAGCGGAGGGAAAAGAAA
rnacentral:rRNA from 1 species